UGAGAAUUCAAGGCCAUAGCAGAAGCACUCACUAUGCCGCCCUGUCAAAUUCCAACACAUCUGUGAAUUCUGCU
rnacentral:ribozyme from 1 species